rnacentral:lncRNA from 1 species
AUCAUACUCAGAUACUCCCCCUUCUCUUAAUUUUCUUAACCCAUGCAGCUAAAGAACACAUUUUUUUCAUUAAAAUUUUUUAAAAAAUAUUUUUGAUUUAACCAGAAGUCUCAUUCAAACCAAAUGCCUAGUUUUAGGAAGCAGUAGGUCCAUGUAACCCAUUUGCCCAUUGAUUGUGCCACAUUCUUUUCAUGCCUGUGGCGUGUAUUGGCCUGUGACGCCUUACAGCACCAGCACCUGCGCAACCAGAGACCUCGUUACAGCAGAAGGAAAGCCUUAGAAAACAUCUUUGGCUGUUCUGUCUGUAUUCACAGCCAGGACUGAAGACUGCAGGCCUUGUGGCAAAGAGCCCAUCUAGUUCUGUGUCACCCAGAAUGACCAAGCAGGUCAUUUUCUUCCCAGUGCCCCCUUUAUCAUCAUCCUCUAGGGGCAGAAGUUUUGUUUCGUUUUAAAUCUCUUUUUUUUUCUUUUUCUUUUUUUUUCCCCUGAUGGUAGAAGUUUAAGGGAAUAAUCUCUCUGUAUGUCAACUAUGUAUACAUUUAAAGUGUCUGUAUUUUAUCAUCUCAAUUGAUUCUCACAAGAGGCAGAUGGAACGAUUUUCUAUAGGUAGAGGCUGAGAAAAGUUCAAUGACUUUAUCAUGGCCUCAAAGAAAAUUAACGGCAGAGUUCAAAUUAGAACGUUUACUUUUUAUUUUAUUUUAUUUUUUGUCUUUUCUAGGGCCGCAGUCACGGCAUAUGGAGAUUCCCAGGCUAGGGGUCGAAUCGGAGCUGUAGCCGCCGGUCUACGCCAGAGCCACAGCAGCGCAGGAUCCAAGCCGAGUCUGCAACCUACACCGCAGCUCGCGGCAACGCCGAUCCCUUACCCACUGAGCAAGGCUAGGGACCGAACCCACAACCUCAUGGUUCCUAGUCGGAUUCAUUAACCACUGCGCCAAGAGGGGAAUUCCUAGAACUUUUACUUUUUGAUUCUAACCAUGCAGAGCCAUCCAGGAGAAAAAUUCACAAUAUAUUGCUUUGUCUUUGGCUUUCCUUAGUAGUACAGCUAGAAAGGUACUUAAUAUUUCUGAGCCUAGAGCAUAAUAGCAUAAUAACUUAAUAAGCAGUGGUUUUAUUUAUUUUAUUUUGUCUUUUUAGGGCUACACCCACAGCACAUGGAGGUUCCCAGGCUAGGGGUCCAAUUGGAGCUGUAGCCGCCGGCCUACACCACAGCCACAGCAACGCCAGAUCCAAGCCACGCCUGUGACCUACACCACAGCUCCUGGCCAUGCCGGAUCCUUAACCCACUGAACGAGGCCAGGGACUGAACCCAUGACCUCACGGAUACUAGUCAGGUUUGUUAACUGCUGAGCCAUGAUGGGAACGCCUGUGUGUUUUUUGUUUGUUUGUUUUGUAACACCAUUUUUAUGGUAGGGAGAGUGGGCUCCAUUGUACGUCAGGACUGUUUGAGCCAUAUCUCCCCUGGAGCUAUUUUUUCAGAUGGCUGCUGUUUGUUCUGUGGCAGCUAAAGAUCAUUCCUUUGGCAAAAAUGGGACUGUAACAGGCUGCCUGUGCCAGACACUCGCUCUCUCCAGAGACAGGCUGAGUAUUU